rnacentral:misc_RNA from 1 species
AGUAAAAGACAGGAAAAAAUAACAACAACAAAAAAAGAAAAGUUAUCUUAACCUUCACCUAGUGGCAAUAAAGCAAAGCUCUGAAGUUCGGUAUUGACAGUCUCAGUUGUCAGUCCCCGAAUCCAAGCCUGCACACGAACCGCAUCAGAUCCCGAAACUAAGCCCGUUUCUCAGCAAAUCACAUCAGUAUCAAAACUAAAUGAACUCCAUCUCAUUUUAAACAUCACUCUCACGUAUUGAACAUCUCCUCUGUUUCUUUAGAAACAUCUUCUAACAUCAUGUUAGAUGCUGUUUUUUUUUUUUAAAUCAGGAAUGCAUUGAAGCCAGUAUUCAGUCUCUAACUAAAUGAGUUUUCUUUUGCGGGCAAACUUUACUGCUUUAACCACAAACGUAACAAAGUCUACUUGGAGGAACGUGCUUGGAAUAACGUCGGAAGAUGCCGGUAUUUAAAAUGGUUUUAAAUCACGCUGCUGGUGCUCACAACACUGAAAUGAGUAGUGUUAUGUUUCGUGGAGAAGACUGAACCUUAAAUCGUCUCCGUUAAAGCUGAUAGGAGCAAGAGAGAAGAAGAACGUGGAACUCCCAGUGAAAAACUAGUUAGAAGAGUAACACCCAUGUCUUGAAAAAAGAAACCGUUUUGUGUGACGGACUUGUUCAGAGAUUUUGAGCUGUAUAUCAAAGGAACUUCUCAAGUACUGACUCUUUAAAGUGCUGCUCAUGGCGAUCAACGAUUCAUUAGAGGUUAUAGUUUUGGUAGAAGAAAACGUGACAUUUCCUCAUCCCCUAUAUGAUGUAAAUAUUACAGAUGGCCGUGCAGCCGAUGAUGUUCUUCUUCUGAUCGUAAAGGGAACUCUUUUAGCCCUGUUCAUCCUGUUGACCGUGUGUGGUAACAUGCUGGUGCUGAUGGCCGUCUUCAUCUUUUCCCAUUUACGCACUGCUACCAACUACUUUAUAGUUAACCUGGCCUUAGCGGACCUCUUGCUAGGACUAACCGUCCUUCCAUUUUCGGCAUCCCUGGAGCUUCUGAAGCAGUGGCAUUUUGGGGAAGAGUUUUGCACAGUGUGGGCUGCCACGGACGUUCUGUGUUGUACGGCAUCUAUUGUUAGUCUGUGUGUUAUCAGUACAGAGCGUUAUAUCGGUGUUACUCAGCCACUUACCUACUCCAGCAUCGUGACGAGGAGAAGAGCCAUUGUUGCCUGCUUCGCUGUGUGGGCCUUGUCCUUGUCUAUCUCUGUAGGACCUCUAUUAGGAUGGCGAGAGCCCCCUCCGUCAGAUCCCGUAAUUUGCGAAGUCAAUAAAGACAAAGAUUACGUGCUUUUCUCAGUGGUAUUUUCCUUCUAUAUUCCACUUACUAUCAUUCUUAUCCUCUACUUCAAAAUCUACAAGGCUGCAGCGAAACAAACCAAGUUUUUAGAAACCGGAGUGCGGCGGGUCCGUUCAUCUGGAAACAACAGCUCAGAAGAAAUUACACUCAGAGUGCACACGGGCACCCAGUACGCUGCGACGUCGUUACAAUCCAGAAGGCUGACAGACGACUACGGAGACUGUAUCUCUCAACGCCAUUUGGUCGGAGGUCAUCAAGGACGUCUGGGAAAAUUCAGACGACAGAAAAAAGCAGCCAAGACGUUGGGAAUCGUCGUAGGUGUCUUCAUUUUGUGUUGGUUCCCUUUUUUCUUCCUGCUACCUUUGAGCGCCCUCUGUGAACAGUGCCAAGUUCCCAAGCUUCUCUUCGACACUGUCUUCUGGAUCGGGUAUUUUAACAGCUGUUUAAACCCGAUUAUUUAUGCGCGAUCAAGCCGAGAUUUCCAGCGGGCCUUCGGGGACAUCCUGCAGUGCCGGUGGACUCGGCAAACUCGGAGUGAUGACAGGAGGUAUACUAAGAAUACGGUUAUUCUGACUUUAAGAACCAGUCGUCCUGCGGAGAACGGCAGGAAUUCGGACUCUGAUCCUCCUGUUACUCAUAGUACCAGUAGGCCUAGUUCCAGGAAGACUUCCGAGAGUCUGUCUUGAACGCGGUCAAAAACUGUUACCAAUAUUUCGCUUGGAGCAGUAGUAAUAAACUCCUUAAUAUCAUUCUUAAUUCUCAGUCAAACGUUGAAUAAAAUUGUUUCCGAUUUUAGUUUCAAUAUGCGACAGUAAGAACAACAACAACAACAAAAAAACAACGUUUCGAAACUACGUUCCAAAAGUUUUAACCAAACUUCUGUUCCAAACUCUCGUUAAAUGUUCCAUCUCGGGAAAUAUUUGCCAACGUUUCUUCUGAAAGACAACCUUUAACGAAAUUCACAGAACGUUCAAUUAAUUAUAUCCUGGUGAUUAAAUACGCCGUUUUAUGGCGAACAAGAACAGGUUGUAUUUUAGGCUUAGAGACGAAGCCUUGUAGUGUAUGAACGCAGACGUUGGUGACAGUUGUUGCUUGUUUUUAUUUUAGAUCUACGAAGAAACUUGAUUAAAUCAACAUAAUUUAAACCACUCACAGAAAAUUUAUGUUAAGGCUUAGAGUUUUUAGGGUUUGCUCUGAAUCAAUUUGUCUUUUAUUACAAGUACAGUUAAUUGUAAGUUAGGAGAUGCACUAAACACAAAGACAAAUUCAUAAAAUCACCACUAGGGUGUGCAUGUGAACGUAGUAUGCUCAGUUGGUGUGAUACUGUUGAUAAUUAUAUCACAAGGUCGUCAAUGUCACAGUUGGUAAUGAUAUCACUAGGUCGUCAAUCUCACAGUUGAUAAUGAUAUCACUCGGUCGUCAAUCUCACAGUUGGUAAUGAUAUCACUAGGUCGUCAAUCUCACAGUUGGUGUGAUACAGUUGGUAAUGAUAUCACUAGGUCGUCAAUCUCACAGUUGGUAACGAUAUCACAAGGUCGUCAAUCUAAUAGUUGAUAAUGAUAUCACUAGGUCGUCAAUCUCACAAUUGGUGUGAUAUAGUUGAUAAUGAUAUCACUAGGUCGUCAAUCUCACAGUUGAUAAUGAUAUCACUAGGUCGUCAAUCUCACAGUUGAUAAUGAUAUCACUAGGUCGUCAAUCUCACAGUUGAUAAUGAUAUCACUCGGUCGUCAAUCUCACAGUUGGUAAUGAUAUCACUAGGUCGUCAAUCUCACAGUUGAUGUGAUAUAGUUGAUAAUGAUAUCACUAGGUCGUCAAUCUCACAGUUGGUAACGAUAUCACAAGGUCGUAAAUCUCACAGUUGGUAAUGAUAUCACUAGGUCGUCAAUCUCACAAUUGGUGUGAUAGAGUUGAUAAUGAUAUCACUAGGUCGUCAAUCUCACAGUUGGUAAUCAUAUCACAAGGUCGUCAAUCUCACAGUUGGUAAUGAUAUCACUAGGUCGUCAAUCUCACAGUUGGUAAUGAUAUCACUAGGUCGUCAAUUUCACAGUUGGUAAUGAUAUCACAAGGUCGUCAAUCUAAUAGUUGGUAAUGAUAUCACAAGGUCGUCAAUCUCACAAUUGGUGUGAUAGAGUUGAUAAUGAUAUCACUAGGUCGUCAAUCUCACAGUUGGUCAUGUUAAAACUGUUGACGAUACCGUUAGUUGCUAUGGUAAACUUGGUAAAUCUACCUUUAAGAGUUUCGUGUGUAACAGAUGAAGUAAACUGAAUCCUUCAGUGGAAUACGACGAUUACUCAAAUUAGAUAUUUGAAGAAGUUUUAAAAACCUUUGAAUUUUGCUUAGACUUUUAUUUCGGUAGACAAUUUCCUGUUUUAAAGCUAGUUUUACAUGUAAUACGUAAAGUGACGUCAGCAAACUGCUUCCCCAGGACAGUCUAACCCUUCCCACGAAUACUGGCCGAAGUUCAGCCAGAUUAGAAUAAAACAUAUAUUAUUAGCCUGUAUAUGUUCUCUUUAGUUGCAGAGUACAGGUUAAUAAACUAGAUGCUUCCAGCAUUCUUUACGUAAAAUGUUUAAAUAUAUCGAGGUUAUUGUUAUCUUUGCAGACGUUUCAAGAACUUUAAUUUAUCAUUUGUGAACCGAAUGUGACUUGUAUGCUAAUUCUAUAGAUUUUCUGUCUCGUGCUGCUUUUUAAUAAA